CCUAGGGAGGCAGCAGUGAGGAAUUUUGCGCAAUGGCCGCAAGGCUGACGCAGCAACGCCGCGUGGGUGAAGAAGGCCUUCGGGUCGUAAAGCCCUGUCAGGUGGGAAGAACACCAUGGGGACGAACAAGCUUCCUGGCUGACGGUACCACCAGAGGAAGCACCGGCUAACUCCGUGCCAGCAGCCGCGGUAAUACGGCGGGUGCGAGCGUUAUUCGGACUUCAUGGGCGUAACGCGCGUGCAGGCGGUUUGGCAAGUCUGAUGUGAAAGCCCCGGGCUUAACCUGGGAAGUGCAUUGGAAACUGCCGGACUUGAGUACUGGAGAGUAAGGGGGAAUUCCCGGUGUAGAGGUGAAAUUCGUAGAGAUCGGGAGGAAUACCAGUGGCGAAGGCGCCCUUCUGGACGGUUACUGACGCUGAGACGCGAAAGCGUGGGGAGCAAACA
rnacentral:rRNA from 1 species